GGAACCUAAUCUAUGUCAACAACCCUGAUAUUAUCAUGAUCACAAAUCUCGGCCUCGUCCCCAUCACCAUCAUCAUCGACCUCUGAGGCGGAGAGCUUGAGCUCGAUAGCUAGCUCAUUCACUGUCCUCAGCUCCUCAACAACAGGCCUUAAGUGCUCGAGUUGCCUAGUUCGGAGAAAAGAGCGAGCAAGCUGCAAGCCUUAGUGAUAGGAACCCGAGCCAUAUUGACCAAGGAGGGUCCAGAACUCUUCCGAUUUCUUGAAGUCGUCCACAGCUUGAGCUCGAGCUUCGUCACGAGCUUUCAUCAGCUCCUCCUCGAAGCCCUUCUUGGACUCGAGAAGCUCAAGCUUUGCUUCUUGAGCUUUCCCCUUGUGAAUCUCGACCUCCUCUCGAGCCUUUUUAAGUUCGGCCUUCACUGCAUCAAGAGCUUUCUCGAGGUCACUAGCUCACACGUCAGCUCGCUUGCGAGAUAGGUGAGGCCUCGUGCUACGCUCAACGUCUGCAUAAAUAAAUUCGACGUUAGUUCAAUGAAAGAAGACUAUCAAAUAAAGGAAACACAAUUGAGGUUGAUAUCUUAACCUCAAUGUCAGGACCUCCAAUAUCUUAACCCCCUCAUGCAUGUUGACCUCUUUCUCAAACCGUCCAACAAGAUCCUUCAUGAGGGCGCACUCAGAAUACUCCUCGAGGGAGCUAUCAGAGAUGGGAGAGAAGCCGGAGUUAGCAACGCCCUGGCAUCCCCGAAAUCGAUCUCGUGUCCUUAGUAUUGGCUAAGGUGGUGGGGUUGGGGCCUUCGGCAUCGAGGACUGGCCUUUAUACAAGGUCGAGGUUACUGCCACCGGGGGCUCCCUCGCAGUGACCUCCCUUGCCCUCUUCUUCUCCUUAGAUGGAGCCAUGGCUCUAAGCUUUGGACCCUUGGCUUGUGUUGAAUGUUCACGAGAAGGUUUGAUAGGUUGAAAGACAUUUCCAAAUCUGCAAAAAUAAAUCAUAAGACAUUAGACCGACCUUAAGGUCAAGGAGAAUCUAUGAGAAGAAAACAAGAUGAAAGGACGUACUCUCGAGGCCUUUCACAUUGGCAAGGUCAAGGGUGUCAUCCUUAAGCAAGUAAUCAAUCUUCUCUGCCAAAGGAUCGUGAUUAACUAACCUUAACCUAUCUCACUCUAAUUCCUUGAAGUAUGCCUGCCCUUCGUUAAAUCUAUCCUUGUCGGGUACCUCCCACUUCAGAUUAAAUGGGUGGUUAGGGUUUUGUGGUUUCACGAAAAAAACCUCUCUUUCCAACCCCGGAGGGAGCUCAGGGUCUCUGGUGUUCUAAACCCUUUCCUUUGUUGAUAAAUAAACAAAG
rnacentral:lncRNA from 1 species